GAUGAAGAACGCAGCGAAAUGCGAUAAGUAAUGUGAAUUGCAGAAUUCAGUGAAUCAUCGAAUCUUUGAACGCACAUUGCGCCCGCUGGUAUUCCGGCGGGCAUGCCUGUUCGAGCGUCAUUUCAACCCUCAAGCUCUCCGGAGUUUGGUGUUGGGGCGCCUGGGGCUUUUCGUCCUCAGGGCCCUCAAGUCCAUCGGCGGGACCGCCAGGACACUGAGCGCAGUAGUAUUAUUUCGCUCGGUAGGAUCUUCCACGGCGGGUCGAUCUGGCCGCUAAACCCCCCAAUUCUCACCAAAGGUUGACCUCGGAUCAGGUAGGAAUACCCGCUGAACUUAAGCAUAUCAAUAAGCGGAGGA
rnacentral:misc_RNA from 1 species